rnacentral:rRNA from 1 species
UGGGGAAUUUUGGACAAUGGGCGAAAGCCUGAUCCAGCCAUGCCGCGUGCAGGAUGAAGGCCUUCGGGUUGUAAACUGCUUUUGUACGGAACGAAAAGACUCUGGUUAAUACCUGGGGUCCAUGACGGUACCGUAAGAAUAAGCACCGGCUAACUACGUGCCAGCAGCCGCGGUAAUACGUAGGGUGCAAGCGUUAAUCGGAAUUACUGGGCGUAAAGCGUGCGCAGGCGGUUAUAUAAGACAGAUGUGAAAUCCCCGGGCUCAACCUGGGGACUGCAUUUGUGACUGUAUAGCUAGAGUACGGCAGAGGGGGAUGGAAUUCCGCGUGUAGCAGUGAAAUGCGUAGAUAUGCGGAGGAACACCGAUGGCGAAGGCAAUCCCCUGGGCCUGUACUGACGCUCAUGCACGAAAGCGUGGGGAGCAAACAGGAUUAGAUACCCUGGUAGUCCACGCCCUAAACGAUGUCAACUGGUUGUUGGGUCUUCACUGACUCAGUAACGAAGCUAACGCGUGAAGUUGACCGCCU